UACGUAGGGGGCAAGCGUUGUCCGGAAUCAUUGGGCGUAAAGAGCGUGUAGGCGGCCAGAUAAGUCCGCUGUGAAAUCUCGAGGCUCAACUUCGAGCUGUCGGUGGAAACUGUCUGGCUAGAGUCCGGAAGAGGAGAAUGGAAUUCCUGGUGUAGCGGUGAAAUGCGCAGAUAUCAGGAAGAACACCGGUGGCGAAAGCGCUCUGCUAGGCCGCAACUGACACUCAUGGACGAAAGCUAGGGAGCGAAUGGG
rnacentral:rRNA from 1 species